rnacentral:piRNA from 1 species
UGGCCUAGGUUAGAGAAAUAUCCAGUGC